rnacentral:rRNA from 1 species
AGAACGAACGCUGGCGGCAGGCCUCAAACAUGCAAGUCUAGGGGGUGUAGCAAUACAUCACCGGCGGACGGGUGCGUAACACGUGGGAAUAUACCUUUUGGUUCGGAACAACGCAGGGAAACUUGCGCUAAUACCGAAUGUGCCCUUACGGGGAAAGAUUUAUCGCCAAAGGAUUAGCCCGCGUAGGAUUAGCUAGUUGGUGAGGUAAUGGCUCACCAAGGCUCCGAUCCUUAGCUGUUCUGAGAGGAAGAUCAGCCACACUGGGACUGAGACACGGCCCAGACUCCUACGGGAGGCAGCAGUUGGGAAUCUUGGACAAUGGGGGAAACCCUGAUCCAGCCAUGCCGCGUGAGUGAUGAAGGCCUUCGGGUUGUAAACUCUUUCGACGGGGACGAUAAUGACGGUACCCGUAGAAGAACGCUCCGGCUAACUUCGUGCCAGCAGCCGC